UACGUAGGGGGCAAGCGUUGUCCGGAUUUAUUGGGCGUAAAGAGCGUGUAGGCGGCCAGACAGGUCCGUUGUGAAAACUCGAGGCUCAACCUCGAGAUGUCGAUGGAAACCGUCUGGCUAGAGUCCGGAAGAGGAGUGUGGAAUUCCUGGUGUAGCGGUGAAAUGCGCAGAUAUCAGGAAGAACACCUAUGGCGAAGGCAGCACUCUGGGACGGUACUGACGCUGAGACGCGAAAGCGUGGGGAGCGAACCGG
rnacentral:rRNA from 1 species